GGGGGGGGGGGGGGGGGGGGGGGGGGGGGGCGGGGCGGGCGGGGGGGCGGGGGCGGGGGUGGUGGGGGGGGGUGGGGGGGGGACGGGGGGGUAACACGUGAGUAGCCGGCCCGCGGCUUCUGGAUAACCGCAUGCAAGUGUGGCUACGACGGGAUAUUCUGGGUCUGUCGCAUGAUGGGUCUGGGGCAGAUAUUGGUUCGGUGGGCGAUGGGCUCGCGGCCUAUCAGCUUGUGGGUGGGGUGAUGGCCUCCCCAGGCGGUGACGGGUCGCCGGCCUGAGAGGGUGGACGGUCACGCUGGGGCUGAGACACGGCCCAGACUCCUACGGGAGGCAGCAGUGGGGAAUAUUGCACAAUGGGCGCAAGCCUGAUGCAGCGACGCCGCGGGAGGGAUGGAGGCCUUCGGGUUGUGAACCUCUUUCGCCAGUGAAGCAGGCCUGCCUCGUGUGUGGGUGGGUUGACGGUAGCUGGAUAAGAAGCGCCGGCUAACUACGUG
rnacentral:rRNA from 1 species